AGCUGCGGCACAACACAAAUGGGUGAGCAAAGCAGCAGUAAACCGAUGGAGCUGCAGUGCUGCGUGUGGUUUCCAGCUUCAGUGGUUCAGUGAAAGAAAAGGAAGAUUCGGCUGAUCCAUACCUUCACACACCGCAAGGAGCUCGAGGAGAUGGCCUUUGUCCCUCAGAGUUUCCUCGGCAAGCAGCAAGAAUUGGUUGGCAGUUCACCUCCGGGUCAUCGAGGAGCCUGAGAGGUGUGGCGUCAGAGCUCAGGAGAUCCCGGACGGCCUCGUUGUAUAUCUCCAUGGCCGAGAACUUGAGGAUGAACUCCCUCUCAGGAUGCUGAACACAUGCACAGAGCCCA